UACGUAGGGGGCGAGCGUUGUCCGGAAUCAUUGGGCGUAAAGAGCUCGUAGGCGGUUCAGUAAGUCAGGUGUGAAAGCUCCGAGCUCAACUCGGAGAGGCCACCUGAUACUGCUGUGACUAGAAUCCAGUAGGGGAGUGUGGAACUCCUGGUGUAGCGGUGAAAUGCGCAGAUAUCAGGAAGAACACCAGCGGCGAAGGCGGCACUCUGGGCUGGUAUUGACGCUGAGGAGCGAAAGUGUGGGUAGCAAACAGG
rnacentral:rRNA from 1 species